rnacentral:rRNA from 1 species
AACGAACGCUGGCGGCAGGCCUAACACAUGCAAGUCGAACGCUGUAGCAAUACAGAGUGGCAGACGGGUGAGUAACGCGUGGGAACAUACCCUUUGGUUCGGAAUAACUCAGGGAAACUUGAGCUAAUACCGGAUAAGUGCGAAAGCAGAAAGAUUCAUCGCCGAAGGAUUGGCCCGCGUUCGAUUAGCUUGUUGGUGAGGUAACGGCUCACCAAGGCGACGAUCGANAGCUGGUCUGAGAGGAUGAUCAGCCACAUUGGGACUGAGACACGGCCCAAACUCCUACGGGAGGCAGCAGUGGGGAAUAUUGGACAAUGCGCGAAAGCGUGAUGCAGCAACGCCGCGU